GAGCGCAGGCGGAAGAAUAAGUCUGAUGUGAAAGCCCUCGGCUUAACCGAGGAACUGCAUCGGAAACUGUUUUUCUUGAGUGCAGAAGAGGAGAGUGGAACUCCAUGUGUAGCGGUGGAAUGCGUAGAUAUAUGGAAGAACACCAGUGGCGAAGGCGGCUCUCUGGUCUGCAACUGACGCUGAGGCUCGAAAGCAUGGGUAGCGAACAGGAUUAGAUACCCUGGUAGUCCAUGCCGUAAACGAUGAGUGCUAAGUGUUGGGAGGUUUCCGCCUCUCAGUGCUGCAGCUAACGCAUUAAGCACUCCGCCUGGGGAGUACGACCGCAAGGUUGAAACUCAAAGGAAUUGACGGGGGCCCGCACAAGCGGUGGAGCAUGUGGUUUAAUUCGAAGCAACGCGAAGAACCUUACCAGGUCUUGACAUCUAGUGCAAUCCGUAGAGAUACGGAGUUCCCUUCGGGGACACUAAGACAGGUGGUGCA
rnacentral:rRNA from 1 species